AUUAAUAAAUCUUCAAUAUUGCUCUUUUUCCGCAAUGACAAAAGAAAUUAGAUGCCAUUUUCAUCUUUGAGCCGAAAAUAAUUAAAAAAUAAUAGUGAAAAGUCAUUUAAAGGUCAUAUUUGUGCAGUUUUGAAUAGUUAAAUAUCAUAUUUGCGCACUGUCAAAGUUUAAGGUCAUAUUUAUGUAUUAUACCCAUAUUUUUUAAACUAGACGUCCAGUUUUGCGUGUUGAACACACGUUUUGCCACAUAGGAUCGAAGGUCAUAUUUGUGCAGUUUUGAAUAGUUAAAGGUCAUAUUUGUGCACUAUCAAAGUUUAAGGUCAAAGUUAUAAUUUGGUGUCAAGUUUAGG
rnacentral:lncRNA from 1 species